CAGCCGCCGCGGUAAUACGAAGGGUGCAAGCGUUAAUCGGAAUUACUGGGCGUAAAGCGUGCGUAGGCGGUUUGUUAAGUCUGUUGUGAAAUCCCCGGGCUCAACCUGGGAAUGGCAAUGGAUACUGGCAAGCUAGAGUGUGUCAGAGGAUGGUGGAAUUCCCGGCGUAGCGGUGAAAUGCGUAGAGAUCGGGAGGAACAUCAGUGGCGAAGGCGGCCAUCUGGGACAACACUGACGCUGAGGCACGAAAGCGUGGGGAGCAAACAGGAUUAGAUACCCGCGUAGUCCCUGUCUCUUAUAC
rnacentral:rRNA from 1 species